GUUGAAUUCGUAAAAUCGUUUAAAACAAAUAAAGAAGAAUUGGGUUUCGUUCAAAUCAAACCUCCAGAGAUUGAUUGGUAACGCGUUUGGCAAAACACAAUUGUUUCCAAUUCAGUAUAUCGUUGCGCUGAAUCAGCCGUCCUUAAUAAUUCCCAAAUCGAAUUAAGUAAAGACCAGUCAAGUCGUCUAGCGCUUCCUUUUAAUGCUCUGUUACAGGAGUAUUUGGGGGAGCACUUGGGAUAAUAUCGCUCUGCGGCCCUUUGGCUUUAGAUCUUCCAGGAAAUGGAGUGCGCAUUUUUUCGAAAGAUUGAGGUUUUCCAGUAGUCAUAUUGAUAUACGAAUAAGUGUCUAAACCGCUUUUUUAAAUAUGUGUUUUCCUUAGCGUAGAAUACUCCAGAUAAUGUAUCAAUGAUAGACAAAUACGCUUAAGUUCAUGAAAUAAAAAUGCGCUUGACCCACUACUAUAUAUACUAUUUUUACAGAAUGGUUCGGUCAAGACGCAUGUGAAUUUUGUCACCCUUCCAUAACCUCUAAGACAAAAGUGCUAUGCCAUUCGCUAUUAAGUUUACGUUCAUUAUCCAAAGCCUGCAUAUCCAGCUGGAGUCAUGAUGUAAAGAGUUACGAACUUAUUCACCACCAAUUGUUUGAAGAUAUAUUGAUUAAUCCGAUAUUUUUUUUUUAAAUAUUUCCUGAAUAUCAAGGACUAAUCAUAAGCGAGAAAUUGUUAGAAGGGAACCGAAUUCGGAAAAACGAAGAUAUAAUAUAAUAUUAUUUUCUCAAAAAUAAAUUCAACACAAUUUCGUUCUACUACCAAUACACAACACAUUAUCUAUGUACCUUGUCGCCAUUGCAGUAGUGUGUUAGAAAAAUUCUAGAACACAAAUCUCUCUUAAAGCUACAGACAAUACAAGUAUACGUCUGCAUAUGCCAACACUUUUGCAAAUCGUCUUGCCUCGGUGAAAAGAAGCAAUUUAAUACAUUACCUCCAUAAGCAUUGCGCCAAGUGAUCGAAACAGUGAAGCAGAAGCUGCAAGAAAGUUUAAAAUAAACGACACAUGAUUAGCUUAUGUGUUAUUACACUUGUAAGAGAAUGUAUUUAGAAUGAGUGACCCCUUGAAAAGGAUUGGUUCAGUGACGGUAUCGAUGAAGCGCUGGUGCGAUAAAUGCCAAGAGUUUUUUUUAUUAAUUUAAGAUGUCAAAAUUCGACCAAGAGUAGCAAACCAUAACACUCAUAAACAUGACAUGCUGUCUAUUCUAUCGACAUUUUUUUUUCUUUUUUUUUUUUUUUAGAAUUUUAGCAUUUGCAAAGGUAUAUUUUGAUUGAUUGGUACUGCGUUGCCGUUGAGAGCAAAUCCUUAGCAAGCCAAAAAGAUGGAGUAAUGAAGCAAUGGUGAAUAGAGAUGAUCAAUCUUGAAUAGAUGUCACUCUGGACUAUCAAUAGUGGUUUGAGCAAACAAUCUUUGCCACAUGAAAAUAGAAAGAUUGCAAAUUGCUCUUUUGAAAAAGGAAUCGUCUUGUAUGUUUGUCUGGCCAACGACGAUCAAUCCAUUCAUUUCCCAGACCAAUAUCCCAAUAUCCACAGUAUUCUCAACACGAUCCGAUUACGCAGCAACUCGUAAAAUUGUUCACCGAGACGGGCGGUACACGAAUUCAUAAGGUGUAAGAGAGUCUAACAAUAAGAGAAAAUAACGGUGCACUAGAAAGUUUAAGGGAGUCUAACAAGGGAUAGCAGAGAAUAAAGUCGCUUUAUAUGAGUUAAAGGAAUUCUACAGACGUAUAACAGACAUUAACGCAGCCUUACAGGAUUUAAAGGAGUCUACCGAAAUCUAACAGAUAACCGCGGUGUCUUUAGGUUUAAAGGAAUCUAACAAGUCUUAACAAAUUACUAUGUAAUCUGAUAGACUGCGAACGGAAGUUGACAAAUUUAUUUCUAUUGGUCUAACAGAGUCUAACAAACUCUAUCACACUUUUCAAGUUCAAGACAAGCCUAUUUUUAGCUGUACAGAAAUGCGAGAUGCGUUACCUCUUGAUAAAUUGUUUUAACGCAGUUAAACUUGUUACGGAAUUCUUCACUGUAUGAUUUUAGUGAAAGUAACGGCAACUUCGCUGUAAGUUGGGAAACAGACUAUUUCGCUUCCAGCAGGUAGAGAAUGCAUUCUCAAUUCGCUUCGUCUACAUUUUGCUAGGUGGUAGAGAUUAUUGUUCAUUUGAUUUGUAUACCCAAGACAAAAUAACGGUAUUAAAAAAAGAGCUUGUAAGGUUUAAGCAUUUAUGGUACAAAGUUAAUUUGCCCAUUCUUUUCUGCUCGAAUUGGAACAAUCAACAUCAAUUCCUCUUCUCAACACACAACAACAGCGGAACCACUUCCUUUUCGAAAUAGUUGAAUACCUUUUUUAAAAUUAAUGGUUUCCUUUUAGUAACCUGACAUCGCCCCUCCAUCCAUCAUGAUUCCCCUCGACUGCCGAAACAAAGUACAUCAGGGCAAACCAAUUUUCUGCCACAGGCAUAAUUGACUAGACAUAUGUUUUUUCUAGUGUCUUUUCAUCUAUGGUUGCCGCAAGCUGAUCAUUUCAAACUGGAGAAUUGUGGUUCCAAGCGGAUGUUUCAUGAAUUUACACCCGAGUCGUUUAGUGAACAUUUCAUCCCUCAGGUGAGAAUUACAUCCGAACUUUUAGUAUAGGCGACAAGGGUGAAUAUGUUGGGAUUAGCGUUUGGAUCGCUAUCCGUCAAUUAAUCAAGAAUCUUUCAUUAUCCAAGUAACUCAAUACCGUUCCGAUUUCGAUUUCCUUUUUUUUUGCUCCUUCCACCCCAAAGAAUUCUUUUCCUUGCAUAUUCUCCUCUUGUCUUGUCCAUUCUCCAUUUCGCACUCCUUCGCACACCACAUUCGAUCGCUACUGCCUAUAGCACAUAUUUGCUUACUACUCGCAAAAUUCCCUACAACGAAAAGAAUGGUCCACGUAAGUCACGCAAGCGACCAAAUAAUCCGUUUGGAUCAUUAGUUAAUGGGUCAGGAGAGCUUACGUUUUUUAACCAGGCGAAAAUGGGGUAGACAUUAUGGCACCUGAUGUGCGCUCACCGCUACAAAGUGGUGUGUAUGUGUGUGUUUUAUUUUGGGCCUUUCUUUGUUGAAAAAAUAAAACAAAAAAAAAGGAGUCGAAAAAGCACUUUUGCAUGAUGAGAUAAUGUAUCUACAUAGUUACAUGAACAAAGAAACUCGUAAUUGAACAAAUGAUAAGAAUUAACUUGUUAUACAACGUACAUAUGGUUUUUUAUUCGUCGUCUAUGCCAUCUACUACUACACUAUGAAACAAGAACCGUUCUAUUUACUUGCCUCGACAUAUUUUUAGCCUGGGUAUUUUUGUUCGUUUCUUUCUUACAGCUCCUCUAAUUUUAAUAUUGCAAUGCAUCCGUUUCCAUCGUUAUUUUUCAUCUUUCAAUUUCAUUACACAGCCGUUAUUGCUUUGUGAAAAGAAGCUUUACCUAACCUGAGAAAUGCAAACAAUAAUAAUUGUUGGGCUAUCUAAACCUAAAGCACACUUAAACUCCGAAAUCCUGAAUCAAUUUUUUACGGCGUAGGAAAGCGCAAAGUCCGGGGUUCAGAUGAUCAAUGUUUUUGGACGCUUAAAAUAGCCAUGUUAGUGGUGGAUGCUAAAGGUUAAGAUUUGUCUAAGAGUUAUCAUAUCAUAUAAACAUCUGACACUUGUUUUUCCCUUGACACUAUUCUUCCCCACAGUGUGAACUUGCAUCAUUUCGGUUGGCGGAAUUUGAUAAAACCUUAACGGCAAUUAUCGAAUGAUGGGAGAUUUUGAUCUGACCCGAAUUUCGCUUUCCCCACCCUUACGUCGAAAAUGACAACAUGAAGGGUAAGAGUGAUAUUUGUGAAGAAUGAAAUUUUGUAGUUAUAAAAGAAAGCGUUCGCUCGCACUUUUUUUAAUCGAUUCGUUUAUUCAUAAGUCAAGUGAAUACCUCGCGC